rnacentral:rRNA from 1 species
GAUGAACGCUGGCGGCGUGCUUAACACAUGCAAGUCGAGCGAAGCAAUUUAAGUGAAGUUUUCGGAUGGAUCUUAGAUUGACUGAGCGGCGGACGGGUGAGUAACGCGUGGAUAACCUGCCUCACACAGGGGGAUAACAGUUAGAAAUGACUGCUAAUACCGCAUAAGCGCACAGUACCGCAUGGUAUAGUGUGAAAAACUCCGGUGGUGUGAGAUGGAUCCGCGUCUGAUUAGGUAGUUGGUGAGGUAACGGCCCACCAAGCCGACGAUCAGUAGCCGACCUGAGAGGGUGACCGGCCACAUUGGGACUGAGACACGGCCCAAACUCCUACGGGAGGCAGCAGUGGGGGAUAUUGCACAAUGGGCGAAAGCCUGAUGCAGCAACGCCGCGUGAGUGAAGAAGUAUCUCGGUAUGUAAAGCUCUAUCAGCAGGGAAGAAAAUGACG